rnacentral:rRNA from 1 species
AGUGGAACCGGAGAGAGUUGACGAAGCAUCUGUGGUGAAGACUUUCGUGAUUGCUUCUGUGAUUUCGUUUGUUGGAUCUGCUUUGGCUGCGUUGGUGGAGUUAUUGGUGUUAGUUGAAACGUGUAGUGUUGCCCACUUCGGCGGUGUCUUACUUGCGCGGAAACUAAUUACUGGUAGCUUUUAGCUUUGCUUGCAAAGUGCCAAUGUUCAAGUCGACCACCUUUCCGACCCGUCUUGAAACACGGACCGAGGAGUGUAGCUAGUGCGCGAGUCAAAGGGUGUUAAACCCCACGGCGAAAUGAAAGUAAAGGCCAGUUUACUGGUUUAACAUAGGAGUUGUUCUUCUGAGCGAUGCACUAUGGCCCUGUCUUGAAAGCUUGCUUUUGGGCAGAGGAAGAGCGUACUGGUUGCGACCCGAAAGAUGGUGAACUAUGCUUGAGCAGGACGAAGCCAGAGGAAACUCUGGUGGAAGUCCGUAUCGGUUCUGACGUGCAAAUCGAUCGAUAGACUUGAGUAU